GGGCUGGGGGAACAGGACGUGUAGAAGACGGUGUGAGAUACUGGAGGGCCAGAGAAAGCAAGCUUGAAACAGAGAGGAAUGGGUCACUUUGGUGGAGGAAAUUGGGCCACCAAGCAGCCAGCAAGCAGCCCUAUGGAGAGGCCAAUGUGGAGAGAAACUGAGGCCUUCCACCAAAAGCCAGCACCAACUUGCCAUCCAUGUGUGUGAACCUGCUUGCAGUACAGAGUGGUCAACCCCAGUCAAGCUUUCAGAUAACUACAGCCCUAGCUGACAUCUUGACUACAGCUUCAAGAGCGAUAUCAAGGCAGAACUGCUUCGCUAAACUGCCCUUGAAUUCCUGACCCACAGAAACUGAGAGAGAGAAUAAAUGUUUAUUGUUAUUUCAAGUGA